UAGGGAAUAUUGGUUAAUGGGCGAAAGCCUGACCCAGCAACGCCGCGUGAACGAUGAAGGCCUUCGGGUUGUAAAGUUCUUUUGACAGGGAUGAGGAAGGACAGUACCUGUCGAAUAAGUCUCGGCUAACUACGUGCCAGCAGCCGCGGUAACACGUAGGAGACGAGCGUUAUCCGGAUUUACUGGGUGUAAAGCGCGUGCAGGCGGUAUGGUAAGUUGGAUGUGAAAGCUCCUGGCUUAACUGGGAGAGGUCGUACAAGACUGCCAGACUAGAGGACAGCAGAGGGGAGUGGAAUUCCGAGUGUAGCGGUAAAAUGCAUAGAUAUUCGGAAGAACACCAGUGGCGAAGGCGGCUCUCUGGGCUGUACCUGACGCUCAGACGCGAAAGCUAGGGUAGCAAACGGG
rnacentral:rRNA from 1 species